CUGCUGCCUCCCGUAGGAGUUUGGACCGUGUCUCAGUUCCAAUGUGGGGGACCUUCCUCUCAGAACCCCUACGCAUCGUCGGCUUGGUGGGCCGUUGCCCCACCAACUACCUAAUGCGCCGCAUGCCCAUCCGUGACCGAGGUCGCCCCCUUUGGCCGGCAGGGGAUGUCCCCUCCCGGCAUUAUGUUGUAUUAGGCGGGAUUUCUCCCGGUUAUCCAUCUGUCACGGCCAGGUUGCAUACGUGUUACUCACCCGUGCGCCGGUCGCCGG
rnacentral:rRNA from 1 species